rnacentral:rRNA from 1 species
UGAGCGUUCUGCACAGCGGAGAAGGGUGACUGAAAAGACGCCUGGAGCGUGCAGAAGAGAGAAUGCUGGCAUGAGUAGCGAGAAACACGUGAGAACCGUGUUCGCCGUAAAUCUAAGGUUUCCGACGGAAGGUCAAUCCACGUCGGGUUAGUCGGGCCUAAGGCGAGGCCGGAUGGCGUAGUCGAUGGACAACAGGUUAAUAUUCCUGUACCACGUAAUACCGAUUGAGUGAAGGGGUGACGCAGGGGGGUAGGCCAGCCAGUUAUUGGAUUCUGGUGCUAAGCCUGUAGGGCGACGAAAGGGAUAGGGAAAACCGUUCCUAGAGCCUGAGGGGUGAUGGCGGAGCCCGAGAGGGCCGGAAGUGGUUGAGCCCGCGCUGCCGAGAAAAGCCUCUAGCGAGGUAUGCGUGACCGUACCGCAAACCGACACAGGUAGAUGGGUAGAGAAUACCAAGGCGAACGGGAGAACCCUUGUUAAGGAACUAGGCAAAUUAAGUCCGUAACUUAGGGAAAAGGACUGCCACUGGUUGUGAGGGCGACUAGCUUGUCUGAGCGAUUGGUGGUCGCAGCGAAAUGGCUCUGCCGACUGUUUAACAAUAACACAGGUCUCUGCGAAAGCGAAAGCUGACGUAUAGGGGCUGACGCCUGCCCAGUGCCGGAAGGUUAAGGGGAGAUGUGAUGAGCAUUGAACCGAAGCCCCGGUGAACGGCGGCCGUAACUAUAACGGUCCUAAGGUAGCGAAAUUCCUUGUCGGGUAAGUUCCGACCCGCACGAAAGGCGUAACGAGCAGAGCACUGUCUCAACAAGGGACCCGGCGAAGUUGAAAUAGCGGUGAAGAUGCCGUUUACCCGCAGCAGGACAAAAAGACCCCGUGGAGCUUUACUGUAGCUUGACAUUGAGUUAGGGCUUUGUCUGUGUAGGAUAGGUGGGAGGCUGUGAAGCUGGUCCGCUAGGAUCGGUGGAGUCGACGUUGAAAUACCACCCUGAUGGAGUCUUGGCUCUAACCUGUGGCCCUAAUCGGGCAUGGGGACAGUGUCUGGUAGGCAGUUUGACUGGGGCGGUCGCCUCCUAAAGAGUAACGGAGGCGCCCAAAGGUUCCCUCAGGCUGAAUGGAAACCAGCCGCAGAGUGUAAAGGCAUAAGGGAGCUUGACUGCGAGACAAACAAGUCGAGCAGAGACGAAAGUCGGGCUUAGUGAUCCUACGGUUCCGAGUGGAAGGGCCGUGGCUUAACGGACAAAAGCUACCCCGGGGAUAACAGGCUGAUCUCCUCCAUG